GACGAACGCUGGCGGCGUGCUUAACACAUGCAAGUCGAACGGAAAGGCCCUGCUUUUGUGGGGUGCUCGAGUGGCGAACGGGUGAGUAACACGUGAGUAACCUGCCCUUGACUUUGGGAUAACUUCAGGAAACUGGGGCUAAUACCGGAUAGGAGCUCCUGCUGCAUGGUGGGGGUUGGAAAGUUUCGGCGGUUGGGGAUGGACUCGCGGCUUAUCAGCUUGUUGGUGGGGUAGUGGCUUACCAAGGCUUUGACGGGUAGCCGGCCUGAGAGGGUGACCGGCAACAUUGGGACUGAGAUACGGCCCAGACUCCUACGGGAGGCAGCAGUGGGGAAUAUUGCACAAUGGGCGGAAGCCUGAUGCAGCAACGCCGCGUGCGGGAUGACGGCCUUCGGGUUGUAAACCGCUUUCGCCUGUGACGAAGCGUGAGUGAUGGUAAUGGGUAAAGAAGCACCGGCUAACUACGUG
rnacentral:rRNA from 1 species